GUUUUCCAUGGAGUUCCCUUGAGCACUUCAAUAUGCAUAUGCCUAGCUUGAAUUGAUAAGAGAGCUAAGGGCAUUGGUAGCGUACUGAAGUGUUUGGGGGGAACUCUGUGGACUAC
rnacentral:pre_miRNA from 1 species